rnacentral:ncRNA from 1 species
UGGUCCUGGCCUUAAAGUCAGUUAUUACUCAACUUACACAUGCAAGUCUCCGCACCCCUGUGAGAACGCCCUCAAAUCCCUUUAGGGAUCAGGAGCUGGUAUCAGGCUCGACUCUCAGCCCACAACACCUAGCCACGCCACACCCACAAGGGUAUUCAGCAGUGAUUAACAUUGUUUAUAAGCGCAAGCUUGACCCAGUCAGAGUAAAUAGGGCCGGCAAAUCUGGUGCCAGCCGCCGCGGCCACACCACAGGCUCAAAUUGACCACCUACUCGGCGUAAAGCGUGAUUAAAGCUACCUUAAGCUGCAAUUAAACUGGAACUAGGAUGUUCAAACCCUGACCCCAGGAAACCCACGAACGAAAGUCAUUGCAACACAAACUACUUGACCUCACGACAGUUAGGACCCAAACUGGGAUUAGAUACCCCACUAUGCCUAACCGUAAACCUUAACUUACACCCAAAUCGCCAGGGAACUACGAGCAACGCUUAAAACCCAAAGGACUUGACGGUGCCCCAUUUCCACCUAGAGGAGCCUGUCCUAUAAUCGAUAACCCCCGCUUAACCUCACCACUCUUUUACCUCCGCCUGUAUAUCGCCGUCGUCAGUUUACCACGUGAGCGAUCUCAGUAAGCAAAAAGGCCAACCGCCAAAACGUCAGGUCAAGGUGCAGUUUAUGGAGUGGGAAGAGAUGGGCUACACUCUCUAAUAUAGAAAAUACGAAAGACUACCUAUGAAAUUUAGUCGGAAGGCGGAUUUAGUAGUAAAACGAGACAAGAGAGCUCGCUUUAACACGGCCCUGGGGUGUGUACACACCGCCCGUCACCCUCUUCGAACCCCAAAAAAAUAGUAUUUAACACCUUAUUAAACACAGAGAAGAGGCAAGUCGUAACAUGGUAAGCUUACCGGAAGGUGUGCUUGGAAA